GACGAACGCUGGCGGCGUGCUUAACACAUGCAAGUCGAACGGAAAGGCCCUGCUUUUGUGGGGUGCUCGAGUGGCGAACGGGUGAGUAACACGUGAGUAACCUGCCCUUGACUUUGGGAUAACUUCAGGAAACUGGGGCUAAUACCGGAUAGGAGCUCCUGCUGCAUGGUGGGGGUUGGAAAGUUUCGGCGGUUGGGGAUGGACUCGCGGCUUAUCAGCUUGUUGGUGGGGUAGUGGCUUACCAAGGCUUUGACGGGUAGCCGGCCUGAGAGGGUGACCGGGCACAUUGGGACUGAGAGACGGCCCAGACUCCUACGGGAGGCAGCAGUGGAGAAUAUGGCACAAUGGGCGGAAGCCUGAUGCAGCAACGCCGCGUGCGGGAUGACGGCCUUCGGGUUGUAAACCGCUUUCGACUGUGACGAAGCGUGAGUGACGGUAAUGGGUAAAGAAGCACCGGCUAACUACGUG
rnacentral:rRNA from 1 species